GACGAACGCUGGCGGCGUGCUUAACACAUGCAAGUCGAACGGAAAGGCCUCUUUCGGGGGGUACUCGAGUGGCGAACGGGUGAGUAACAAGUGAGUAACCUGCCCUUGACUUUGGGAUAACUUCAGGAAACUGGGGCUAAUACCGGAUAGGAGCUCCUGCUGCAUGGUGGGGGUUGGAAAGUUUCGGCGGUUGGGGAUGGACUCGCGGCUUAUCAGCUUGUUGGUGGGGUAGUGGCUUACCAAGGCUUUGACGGGUAGCCGGCCUGAGAGGGUGACCGGCCACAUUGGGACUGAGAUACGGCCCAGACUCCUACGGGAGGCAGCAGUGGGGAAUAUUGCACAAUGGGUGGAAGCCUGAUGCAGCAACGCCGUGUGCGGGAUGACGGCCUUCGGGUUGUAAACCGCUUUCGCUCAUGACGAAGCUUUGUGUGACGGUAGUGGGUAAAGAAGCACCGGCUAACUACGUG
rnacentral:rRNA from 1 species